UCUAUCUUUCCGUCUUCCAGUGUUUCUAGACGUACAAGUACUUCAGCAGAACCUACAACUUAUAACCCAACCACCGCAAUUUCAUCUGUGAAUGUUGGUAUGUUUUGUUAAAAGUCAAAUUAUAAUAUUUUGUGCUUUAUCAAGUAGAAUUGACUGGAUGCUAAAUAUUUGCAUGGGUAGGCUUAUUAAUUAAAGUGAGUUUAAAGUGAAUUAUUAGUCAAUUUCAAAAUAAAGGUAAAAAUAGCUGAACUGGAAAAAUUAUCUAACAGGGCUAGUCAUUUCACAAACAAUUCCAACCAUCCAGUAUGAGAAAUUAUAACCAUAGUUUCUAGAACAGAAGAAUAAUUUAAAUAUUUUUUUUUCUAAUUUGGUUGGAUUUAAAUGUAGAAAUCUGAAAAAUAACAUGUAACAUGUAACAUGUAUUUUAUACAUGUAUUUUGUCCUUAACAGUUACUGCCCAAUGUUCCACGGCUACAAACAACAUACCAUACACAAUUGCUUAGUAAGUACAUGGUUAUUGCUAAAAUAUCAUCAGUAUUAAUUGCAGAAAAUGUAAUUUUUUUCCUUUAUCCAAAACCACACAGCUGAUGGUUUCUAUAAUACAAAUAACAAUGUCUGUUUUCUUAUCAUUACUCUCCAGUGUGAUAUGUCCUGGAGGAUGCAGUGACAGUGGGGGUAUUUGGGGAACUGGAG